GUGGGACAGAAUCACAGCAAAAUACCUGUGCUUUGCCUUGGACAGAUCCAGGGAAGCAGGAACCAUCACGCCUGAGUCAGGAACUGCCUAAUUGGAUAGAGUUGAAGAGCAGAGCGACUCUGAAGUGACUGUGUUAUUGCAGCAUCUGCGCUGCCAGCAGGGCCAACCCAGAAAGAUACCCGAAGCACACACAGCAGAGUCCUCUGGACUUCGAGGAGGAACCCACAGCAGGAGGAGGCUGUGGAAACCUGGGACCACUUCUACCUUCCUACGUGGCAGUGGCUCAGAGUUAUUUGAGUGCUGUCAAACUAAGCUGAUUGCUGCCCUAGUAUUAGAUCA
rnacentral:lncRNA from 1 species